rnacentral:lncRNA from 1 species
UGUCAUAACUAAUAGUAAUAAAAUACUACUUAAGCAGCAAAAGUCAAGAACAAAUUACUACUCAACAAAUCUUUCAACUUUCAUGUUCAAAGUCAUCACCUACACCAAAUAUUACAAUACAAAACAAGAAAAUAAAGAGAUGGAGUUUUAACAAAUUCUCAUUAAUGGCUCACCAAAUCUUUACUUCCAAGGUGAUAGGUGAUGAAACCCUAGCUUCAGAAGCUUAUAUUUCCACUCUGAAUCUCUCAAAAUCUCAUAGAAAAUGAAGUCUCUUCACAAAAAUCCUAAAGAUUUUAUUUAUAGAGUCCAAUAAAUGUGUUCCAAAAGUUAACAAAAAUGCCCCUGAUGUUAGUUCUGCUAAGAAAUAAUGGAUCGCAGAAUUGAUCUCCAGUCCACAAAACUCUUCGUUUGAUUUCAUAAUGGGACUUGAGAUCUGGAUCUGAAACUUCUAGUCAGACAUACGGCUCGCUUAAUGGACAUCAGAAGAGUUCUGCAUACCACAUAAUUUCCUAUGUACAGAUUGGAUUUUCAAUGUUCUCGACCUUUUAUCGCAAAUUAUAUUUGCGACUCGCAAAGGAGUUCUGUGGUUCACAUAUUUGAACGUAGAUUUUCCUUUUCUACAACUCGCAGAAUUGAUCGCAUAAUACUCUUAUAGAACUGGUAUGUUUUUUCCUUUUCUGCAGUUGCUUUCUUCACAUAUGCAUGCUCUUUUUGCGCCUCGCAAACUUUCCCAUAAAAAGACAUCUUUAAGUGUAUUUUUGUACUUUUUCUUGCUUUUGAUACUUAAUCUCCGAAUUCCUACAAAAUAUCAAAUAACAUAAGAAAUGAUAGAAAAAUACUUAAAGGACAUUAAAAGCUUAUGAAAAUGAUAUAGAAAAGGUCGUGUUUUCAUGGCACAUCAGUCUCACGAUCGCGAUGAACUAGACAUCUUAUAAAUUUGUAACUUCUCAAGUGGUUCAACAUAUACUGAAACACCCCCAUCCCCUCGAGUCCCAAAUCAAUCAUAUCCACAAGUCCCAAAAUAUCAUAUGAACCUAUAAAAAGUCUCAAAACAUGCCACGAUUUUUGAAAAAAGAAAUUCAAUUGUCAUGAAGAAGCUUCUAAUUCUUAUCUACAAGAACAUUCAUAGUUUCACGUAUUUAUAUGUAAUGAUUCGGCCAAUUAUUUUGAGCUUUAGCAUUUCAUUCUACGGUUCGAGACCUUGAGUAGCUUCAUAUGAUGUAUUAUUACUUGUAUGUAUGGUUGGUUUCGAUGUUUGAAAGGUUUAGGAUUGAUUUAGCAGGAGGAUUCUCAACUUGGAUGCCUUAAGUUAGAAGAGUUAACCAUGGUUUUAUUAUUGAAAAAAUGACUUCGGAAUUAGAAUUUGAUGGUUUCAAUAUGAUUUUGGACCUGUUGGUUUAAUUGGACGGGGUACCGAUGGGCUCGGGUUUGAUCCAGGGUGGUUUCGAACAAUUUUGGUUGAGUUUGGAGCUGUUGUGUUGCCGGUGUUCUAUAGUGCUUUGCGAUCGCGGAGCUAGGCUCGCGAUCAUGGAGAAGGAUUUUGGCCAGCUGGCCAUUUGUGCUUCACAUUCGCACUCCAAAAGUCGUCAUGUUUAUGAUGUGAUUAUGGAAGUUGGAGCUUAUGCUACGCGUUUGCAUGGUAUGUCUCGCAUUCUUGAGCCAUGGGAAGGUAGGCCUCCGCGUUUGCAUGUCAGAGGUCGUGUUCGCAUAGAAUCGGAGUGUAACGACCUGAUCGGGCGUUUUGAGCUCUAGCACAGUAUGUGGGAAUUGAGUCUUUGAGUAGCUUCACUUCAUGUUUUAUAACUUGUACGUCUUGUCAGAAUUGAAUUUUGGGAAGUUCGGAGUUGAUUCGGAUGUAAAAUUCUCAAUACGGAAGCUUAAGUUGGAAGAGUUGACCAAGGUUUUACUUUUGAGUAAACGACCUCAGAAUCGGGAUUUGAAGGUUCCAAUAGGUCUGUACGAUGAUUUCGGACUUGGGCGUAUGUUCGGGUUGAGUAUCGGGAGGUCGGGGAGCAUUUCGGCACUUAUUAUGGAAAGUUGGCAUUUUGAAAGUUAAAUAAUUUCCUAAGUUUGAUUUGAAGUGGACUUUGCUAUUAUCGAUGUCCAUUUGGGGUUCUGAGCCUUGAAAUAGGUUCGUAUCGUGAUUUAUGACUUGUACGUAAAGUUUGGCAUCAUUAUGGGAUUUUUAUAUAUAAUUCAGACGCAUUCGUCGAAGUUUUGAAUGUUGGAAAGAUGAAAGAAGGACUUUGAUUGUCGAUUCAUGAUUUUAUGUUAUUCGUGGCAUUUCGAGCCUUUAGAUAAGUUUGGAUAAGGUAUUGGGACUGAUUGGCAUGAUUGGACAGGGUCCCGGGGGCCUUGGGUGUGAUUCGGAGUGGUUUCGGAUCAUUUUUACUUGUUUUGCAGCUGCUAGUGUUGGUGUUUGGUUUUGUUCUUCGCGAACGUGACGGGUCUCACGCAUUCGCGAAGAAGGAUUUUAGGGGUGCUGUGAUUUGUUCAUCGCGAACAUGAAACAGGGGUCCUGAACGCGGAGAAGAGGCUGAAGUUCCCUUCAUGAACGCGACAAGGAGUCGCAAAUGUGUAGAAAGAUGGUGAGUUGGGGGCCUCGAGGUGUUAAGCCUUCGCGAAUGCAGCUGAGUGACCGUGAACGUGAAGCAUCAAGACCUAGAGGCAUCGCAAACACAACUUAGGCGACGCGAAGAAGGACUUUUGGUUAGUGGAUUUUUGGCCUUCGCGAUCGCGAGGGUAUUUCCGCGAACGCGAAGAGGAAGGGCCUAGGUAGACUUUAAUUUAUUUCGGGUUUUCGCUCAUUUCUUCCACUUCUCUCAUGGUUUGGGCAAUUUUUGGAGCGCUUCAAGGGAAGAUUUUCAUCAUCUAUUGCAAGGUAAAUAAUUCUUACAUAUUGUAAGUUAAUUACAUGGAUUCUAUAAGGAUUUAACAUGGAAAUUUGUGAAAAAAUAUGGAAUUUUUUAAGCAAAACCUAGAAAUCGUAUUUUUUUUAUUUUGACCACGAAAUUGGACAUGAAAUUUGGAAUAAAUCAUAAAUUUGAAAUCGUGGCGUUAUGGGUAAAGUUCAUCUUCCAAAUUUUCGGAAUCCGGAUACGUGGGCCCAAGGGUUGACUUUGUUGACUUUUCGAGUGGAGUUGAGAAUUAUCAUAAAUUAAUUAAUUUUGAGUGUUGGAGUAUAUUAUUAUUGGUUUGCAUGUUGUUUGACUAGUUACGGAUCAUUUGGCUUUGAAUUGAGGAGUUAGAGAGGCAUUGGAGCCAGUUAUUGGAACUUCAGAGCGAGGUAAGUCUCUUGUCUAACUUUAUGAGGGGGAAACCACCCUGUAGGUAUUAAGAUUGUUGUAUGCUACUAGUUCUGGAUGCUACGUACGUACAAGGUGAUGAGAGUACGUACGUAGCUAAAAGCAUGUUCAUGUCCAGGAAGACUUAGGACCUUAUCAUGUAAUAUUUGAAUUAUUUGAACUCAAUUUGCUUGCUUAAUUAAGUGAAUUUAUAAUUGAAAUCGAUUGGGGAGUACAUUAGGCCUAGCUUUAUCGCCUUGAGUUCUUUGUCGAGAUAUUUGAUAAAUGGUAAAAGUCAUGUUUACUUUAUGCUCUUGUACCUGUGUUGUAAGCACGUGACUCGCAAUUCGAUAUGUUUAUUCUUUUCCUGUGGAUCGGGCUGAACGCCUUGGCAGUAUAUAUAUUUAUAUGAGAUGAAUCCAUGGAUAGGGUCGUACAACCUCGGCAGUGUAUGUACACAACUAUAUGUAUCAGGCUGAACGACCUCGGCAUAAUUCGUGCAUAAAGUCGCUAAGAGUCCGAAUAUCCACGAAAUUACCCUCUUGAUUAAACUUAGCAAUUACGUAAUAUUCUCUUUAUGACCUGAGAUCGGAUAUUUAAUUUAUAGUUCCUAUUUGUUGAGAUAGCAUGUGGCCUUUGGGGAAUUUUAACUGAUAAUAUUUGUUAAAGGAUUUCGUUAUCUAUUGUUCCAUAUUCUAUAGAUCCUGUUGUAUUUCAUGCCUAUUUAUGAUUCCGCAUUUUAUUUAUUAGAUCACUAGUAAGUGUCAAUUUCGACCCCUCGUCGCUACCUCUCCGGGUUUAGGUUAGAUACUUACUGGGUACGCAUUGAUUUAUGUACUCAUGCUACACUCCUGCACUAAAUGUGCAGGAUCUGACAGGUUCUGUUGAUGGUCAUCUUGGCGCAUAGGCGUAGCUGCUGAGGGGACUUUAUGGUAAGUUCUAAUCUAUUUUAUAUUCCAGACAUAUGUUGCAUUAUUAUCGUACUCCUUAGUAAAAGCUCAUGCACUUGUGACACUGGGUUUUGAGAUACUCUAGUGGUUGUUAAUGGAUCGGCUUGAUAUUGUCAUCUUUUAUUUUAUAUCUUACUAAUAUUUUAAAUAUUCAUAAUUUUUAAAUGCAUUGAAUUCUUUACUCAAUAAGACUUAUGAUUUCAAAAACUAUAAAAUGAAUAAUUGAAUUGAUAGUUCACUGUUUUCUUGCCUAACGGUGAUAUUGGGCGCCACCACGACCUAUAGUGGGAAUUGGGUCGUGACAUCUUGGUGUCAUAGCUCUAGGUUCUCUUGGGUCUCACGAGUUAUGAGCGAGUCUAGUAGAGUCUUGUAGAUCAGGACGGAGACGUCUGUACUUAUCCUCGAGAGGCUACAGGGCUGUUAGGAGCACUUCCCUUCUUGAUUCCUCGUCACGCGAUUUGAUCCCUUUGGAGAUUAUGCCUUCAUUUCCUCCCUACUCAUUCUUAUACGAUGUUGAGUGCUCGUUAUCAAUUGGGCCUCGAGAAGUUGUAGUGGUACUGCAGAUGUAGUGCAGGAUGUUUCUCCCUGUGUAUUUGAGCGGGCUAUUAUCGUCAUCUUGUGGAAGGGUGCUCUAUCAUUUCAGCUAAGUGGUAGUAUUGCCUAUGGUUUUGAGGCUAUGCACAAUGUAUUAUGAUGUCCAUGCAUUGUUAUCGCACAAUCUUGGUAUAAAUGGUAGGGUGCUUAUUUAUGUGUCGCAGCAGUGAAUGACUCAAAAAGAGGAUUUCUCGAUUCAUGGUUUAGAGGUUCGGCAUUUAAUUACAGUGGAGGAAAGGCAAUUGGACUAUGUAUGAUCAGGCCUUGGUUGACGGAGUAGAGAGACUUGAUGUUUUCGAACAUGGUGGAAUUCUCAUUGGGGUGUGGUGUCGCCGUCCUUGUUGGAAUGCAUUAAGUCUCAUCGGUGUUAUGGUCUCCUUUGAUUUGUCUUUGGGACAUGAUGUUGUGGAAUGGUGCCUAAGCAGCAGUUAUCAGAGGUGGUGAUGUAUGGCAGCUUUAGAGUCGAAUCGGUGUUUCUACUAUUGACGGCUCGAGGGUGUAAUGCCCCGUUAAAAUUUCCUAAUGAUUUAAGAUUUUAAAGUGCGCCAACGGUAUUUGGGAAUAACGUAUUUGAGUAUUAAAGGAUACCUAUGGGAUAGAGCCACAUCAUUUUGAAUUGAUAAUGUAUGUUUAAGGUGUGUUGGAACAUACCAAGGAUUUUUGUGAAUGGCAAGAACUUGUGUGGAGCAAGUUGGAUACAUUAAGUGGAAAGGAUGUUUCAAUUGGCACAAGACCCGACUUCAAAUGAAUAUAACUCCCUCAAUAUAAUGACUUAGGUGGUGAUACAUGUAUCCAAUUAAAUCCCUUUGAGUCUAGUUUCCAACGCAUCAAACGGUUCAUCAUUUGGAUAUUUCUAUAUAACGUUAUGGCCAUUUUACUGGACCUAUGUCAUAUGCGCGGCCGCGCAUAUUUGGCAGUUUCUGCCUUGUGUGAGCGGCCAGAUGCACAGCCACUUGCCCAGGUGCGUGGCCGCGCACGUAGGAGCCCAUUAAAUAACCCCAAGGCCGGGUAAACAGAGGGGUUAAGUCAUUUCUUGAGCUAAAACCUGAUAUUUUAGAGAGAAGUGAGAGUGUUCUAGAGAGAAGAAAUAGAUGACGUAUUUUGUUCGUCAAGAUCUUGUUCAAGCUUUGAAAUCCAACAAGGAAAUCUCACAAGUUCUUCAAAGAGGAAAGGUUCCAUACCCUAGUAUUCAAUUUCGAAUUUGGGUAGGAAAAUGGUUGAUUAGGAGUAUGAUUCUUGGGUGUGAGAGUAUUAUUUAUACAUGCAUACACCAAUAAGGUUUGUGGGAAGAUUGUUGUGCUUAAAUAACUAAAGAUUGGGUUGUGGAAUGAAGGAAAUCUUGUAGAAGAAUCUUGUAGCCAAAUUUUCACACCUAGUGUUUGAUAAAAUUCUCAAAUGAGCUGAAACCAUGAAAGUUUUGUUCAAUUUUGUUAUGUCUCAAAAUAGAUUGGGAUUGUUAGAAUUUCUGGAACAUUGUAGUAAUUAAAGGAAAGCUCAAAGUGAGGUAUGUUGGCUACACUCUUCUCUUAGAAUUGAAUCCCACGGUGUUCGUGUAAUUUGUGUAAGUCCCGAAUUGUUCAUUAUAAAUUAACUAUUCCGAAUAAGCCUUGUGUUGAAAGGUAUAUGUUCAAAAUGUGUUUCGGAUGCUCUUAUCAUAUGAUGUUAUCCUUUGGGAAUGUGUUCAAAGCAUGAACUGGGUAUAAAAAUGUUAUGACUCCAAGUAGUGUUUCAAGUGAAGGCUAUUAUGCCAAAUUGUGUAAGAAGUCUCAAUGUGCAUAAGACGCUUAAUUGCUCAUAGGUGUACUAAAAGUCGUGAUUAGGGAUUCCUUGUUGUCGGUAAUCUAUAUAGAUGCUUAAAAGUGAAAGUAGUGAGUUGGGGAUAUAAAGUGAAGUAGUGAGUUGAGGAUAUAACGUGUGAAGUAGUGAGUUGGGGAUAUAAAGAGUGAACAUCGUUCCAAGAAUGAAAGCUAUACUUGUGGCCAAUAGCGCCAAUGAAAUAAAAUGAUGUGUGAAAUAUUAUGAAAUGAGCCUUGAUUCAACUAUUUUUAGAUUGACUCCGAAAAUAGAAUCAUCCAAAAGCUUAUGUACUCAAGUCAUGUCCAAAUAUGGUUGUUCUAACUAAUGCUAUGCUUGGUAGGUAUUUCCAAUAUAUUUUGAGUUCUUACAUAUUCAUGAGUUGAGAUUGUGUAUUGCCCUUUUUGAGGAAAUGUAUUUCAAGAGUAUUCUAUAUGAUGAUGUUUGUGAUGAUAACCCUUAAAAGUAAAGAAAUGAAAGUGUGGAAUAUGAUAUACGGCCACAGUGCCUUGAAUGAAGAAUAAUAUGUAUGGCCAAGAGAGCCAAUGAAAUAAUGAUGUUGUAAGUAGUUGAAAGUAAUUGUGAAGUGAUAUAUAGCGUGAAAGGUUAUGAGAUGAACGUAUUUGUACAUGUUUCCAAUGUGUUAUAAGCUCCUACGCCCUCAUGAGGAGAGGCUAUGGUGUUCCUAAAUAUUUUAAAUGUUAUUGAUAUCCUAUGAUCACCCAUGGCAAGUAUAAGUAAGUGAUGGUAUGAACAUGCAAUGUAGUUGUUUGCCAAAAAGAGAAUUAUGAGGUGUUGUAUGUCCCAAUGGUUUCUACUAUAGUUGUAUGCUUCUGAAAUAAUGUAUGUAAAUGACUUCGAUUGUUAAGUCCCCAAGUGUCAUGAACCUAAUUAAUGACCUCAAGAUGUCAAGGGAGUGAAUAACGAGAUGGAAGGGGGAUGUCCUAUGCUAAAUGAUGAUGAACCUUAAGAAAACAAAUUGGGCUCAUGUGCCAUUGAAAUUGACUUAUUGAUUUACCAUGCACGUGCUAAUGUAAUGAGUUGUGUUUCUCUAUAAUGAGUAUGAACAUGAAGUAUUCCAAUGAUAUAGGAAAUUACGACCUUAAAUGUAAUGAAAAACUAUGUCGCUUUGAGUUAUAUAUGAAAUUGUGGUAUUGUGAUACACCUCCACCCGCAUAUAUUGGGGUGAGGCGGUAGGGCCGCUUUGUGUAGAGAUUAUGGUAUUGUGAUACACCCCCACCCGUAUAUAUUGGGGUGAGGUGGCAGGGACGCUUUGUGCAGAGAUUGUGGUAUUGUGAUAUACCUCCACCCGCAUAUAUUGGGGUGAGGCGGUAGGGCUGCUUUGUGUAGAGAUUAUGGUAUUGUGAUACACCCCCACCCGUAUAUAUUGGGGUGAAGCAACAGGGCCGUAUUGUGCAGAGAUUGUGGUAUUGUGAUACACCUCCACCCAUAUAUAUUGAGGUGAGGUGGUAGGUCCGCUUUGUGUAGAGAUUAUGGUAUUGUGAUACACUUUCACCCGCAUAUAUUGGGGUGAGGCGGCAUGGCCGCUUUAUGUAGAGAUUGUGGUAUCGUGAUACACCUCCACCCGCAUAUGUUGGGGUGAGGCGGUAGGACCGCUGUGUGUGAACGUGGUUAUAGAUGAUCCCCGACUUAAUAUCUAUAAAUUUUAAUGGAAGCUCUUAAUAAAUUUGCUUGACGUUAACGGCUAUCUAUGCCCGUUUUACUGUUACCAUGAUUCAUCAUAUUCAUGUUGUAUUUUCCAAGCCCUUGAAUAUGUGUAUUUGUAUUUUGUAAGUGAACACUGUGAACGUUCUAUGAAACACACAGGUGUAUUGUGUAAGUAAACACUGUGAACGUUCUAUGAAAUACAUAGGUGUAUUGUGUAAGUAAACACUGUGAACGGUCUAUGAAACACACAGUUGUAUUGUAUAGGUGAUACUGUGAACGGUCUAUGAGACGCAUAGGUGUAUAAUAUGAUAUGUGAACACUAAGGACGGUCGGUCUAUGAAAUGUAUAUGUGUAAAAUAAGGGAGGAAGGUGCCACUGUCAUUGGCCUUGUUUGUACAUGUUGUUACAGUUAUAUUAAAUUAUGUAUUCCACGUAUAGUUCAUAUGGCUCAGUUGAUCCUAAAAGAAGUUUAGAAUGAUGCAAGUAUAAUAAGACUUGAAAUAUGAUUCUAUGGGAUGUUUCGUAGUUUCUGGAUGUACUUUAUUUUCCUCUUGUUUGAGUUACCAUAUUUUCAUAUGUUAUUUUGACUGCCUUACAUACGAGUACUAUUCCACAUGUACUCACGUCCCUUUUGCCGGGGGCGCUGCAUCUUUUAAUGGAUGCAGGUAUACUUCUACAGGAUGCUAUGGAUCUCUGAUAGGGAUCUUCUUCGCUACUCAGCUUAUGGUGAGCCAGCUACAGUUCUAUUGGGUGUUUGGGUCUAGUUCAUUUUAUGUAUUUAGGUAUCUAUUGUCAUAGAAGCUCCAUGUACACUGUGAGUCAUGUAAUUAAAGAUUUGAGUUUUGUCGUGUAUUUAUGUUUACAGUAUUUAUAGUUAUUUAUAAAGUUGUGUAACCAUCAUGAGAAAGAAUUUAUGGGCCAUUGAGCCAAAUGUAUUUAAUAUGAAA